rnacentral:rRNA from 1 species
CAGUCGCCGCGGUAAUACGAGGGGGGCUAGCGUUGUUCGGAUUUACUGGGCGUAAAGGGUGCGUAGGCGGAUUGUUAAGUCAGGGGUGAAAUCCCGAGGCUCAACCUCGGAACUGCCUUUGAUACUGGCGAUCUUGAGUCCGGGAGAGGUGAGUGGAACUGCGAGUGUAGAGGUGAAAUUCGUAGAUAUUCGCAAGAACACCGGUGGCGAAGGCGGCUCACUGGCCCGGUACUGACGCUGAGGCACGAAAGCGUGGGGAGCAAACAGGAUUAGAUACCCCCGUAGUCCCUGUCUCUUAUAC